rnacentral:rRNA from 1 species
GAGUUUGAUCCUGGCUCAGAUUGAACGCUGGCGGCAGGCCUAACACAUGCAAGUCGAGCGGUAACAGGGGUAGCUUGCUACCCGCUGACGAGCGGCGGACGGGUGAGUAAUGCAUAGGAAUUUACCCGAUAGUGGGGGAUAACCUGGGGAAACCCAGGCUAAUACCGCAUACGUCCUACGGGAGAAAGGGGGCUCCGGCUCCCGCUAUCGGAUGAGCCUAUGCCGGAUUAGCUGGUUGGUGAGGUAAUGGCUCACCAAGGCGACGAUCCGUAGCUGGUCUGAGAGGAUGAUCAGCCACAUCGGGACUGAGACACGGCCCGAACUCCUACGGGAGGCAGCAGUGGGGAAUAUUGGACAAUGGGGGCAACCCUGAUCCAGCCAUGCCGCGUGUGUGAAGAAGGCCCUCGGGUUGUAAAGCACUUUCAGUGAGGAAGAACGCCUGAUGGUUAAUACCCGUCAGGAAAGACAUCACUCACAGAAGAAGCACCGGCUAACUCCGUGCCAGCAGCCGCGGUAAUACGGAGGGUGCAAGCGUUAAUCGGAAUUACUGGGCGUAAAGCGCGCGUAGGUGGCUUGAUAAGCCGGUUGUGAAAGCCCCGGGCUCAACCUGGGAACGGCAUCCGGAACUGUCAGGCUAGAGUGCAGGAGAGGAAGGUAGAAUUCCCGGUGUAGCGGUGAAAUGCGUAGAGAUCGGGAGGAAUACCAGUG